AAGCGUACACGGUGGAUGCCCUGGCAGUCAGAGGCGAUGAAGGACGUGCUAAUCUGCGAAAAGCGACGGUAAGGUGAUAUGAACCGCUACAGCCGUCGAUGUCCGAAUGGGGAAACCCAAUGCACUUGUGCAUUAUCGUUAACUGAAUACAUAGGUUAACGAGGCGAACCGGGGGAACUGAAACAUCUAAGUACCCCGAGGAAAAGAAAUCAACCGAGAUUCCCCCAGUAGCGGCGAGCGAACGGGGAGCAGC
rnacentral:rRNA from 1 species